rnacentral:rRNA from 1 species
CACGUAGGGGGCAAGCGUUGUCCGGAUUUAUUGGGCGUAAAGAGCUCGUAGGUGGUUCGGUAAGUCAGGUGUGAAACCUCCAGGCUCAACCUGGAGACGCCACUUGAUACUGCUGUGACUGGAGUCCGGUAGGGGAGCGUGGAAUUCCUGGUGUAGCGGUGAAAUGCGCAGAUAUCAGGAGGAACACCGAUGGCGAAGGCAGGUCACUGGGCCGCAACUGACGCUGAGGAGCGAAAGCAUGGGGAGCGAACAGG